rnacentral:misc_RNA from 1 species
AAGGAAACAGUUCAGUAUCUUCUGCCAGUAACUGAUCCGAGUCUUCUCACUGAGAAAGAUGGUGUUGGACUCAUCAAUUUUCUGAUCAUUGCAGAUUUUUAUAUUUAUGUGUAAUAUCACUUAUUAAUUAUGUAUUUGCUUUGACUUGAUUUUUCUCUGUAAUUGAAUACUAACUCCAGUACAACAGAGCAAGAACUCAACUAUUGAGCUACUUGUCCAGUGG